ACUAUCUAGAUCUACUCUAGUUUAGAGAAGAGAGGAGAGCUCUCAUCUCCAAACCCUAGCUUUUGCUCUGUCUAUGAAUAAUGAAUAGGGAUCAAGGGGUGCCUCCUCCAGGGGCUAGGGGGUCUGCUUAUAUAGUCCCCUCAAGUGAAUCUGGGCCGUCAGAUCAAACCGACCUUAAUCGCACGGUUUUACUUGAUCCUCAAAGGCGGUGGAGCAUAAUCCACAAGACGGAGCCUCAUUGGCUCCUGUAGCAGGGCGGGCGCCCAAGGGGGGAGGGCGGGCGCCCUGCCCCCGGGCCUGCUCGGCCUCUCGUUCGUUCCCGUGGCUUCUGGAGUCUUCUAGAUGAUAGAAAAUUGCCGCACACGUUAAUAUCUCUAUGUAAACCCGACAUGUGGGCCUUUCCUCCAUAUUUCCUGAUAACCCCUGUAGAAUUAGACAAACACCAAAACUCGUGGAAUUCUGUCAGAUAAAACCCUAAGUCUAGGUGUUGGUUGCAUUUGGAUCCUUUUCUUUAUUUAUUUGAUGGUUAAAUUUGAUACUUAAGGACCGUCAAACUCCCCCAAGCUUACCUCUUGCUUGUCCCUGAGCAAGGAUAGACUUAGUGAUGGAUCAGAAAUUGCUGCAAUGUCUUAGAAAGUUGACGGUACACAUGCUUUCAAACAAGGUCUUAUGUCUGAGUUAGAGUAAACUGUUAAGACUUAAAAGUUACUCAUUUUACCUUUCACCAUGGGUCUUUCAACCGUCACUUGUGUCUUGAGCAGUUAAAAGAUAGAAUGGUCAAAUCAAGCGCCAUGUCUCUUGUUCUUUGAUCAGCUAUAGCUCUGGAGUUUUUUUUUGUAGAUUUUCAAAUAAAACUUAGAGAUUCCUUGUAUGACUCUCUCAAAUCUCUCUUUUGUGGUAUUUGGUAUUUUUGGUAUGAGGCAUAGUGACAUUGCUUUCUCUCUCACCCUACUCUAAUAAGGUUUUGAUAUCUGGAGCUCAUAGGUGGGAGACAGCUAAUACAUACUUACAAGACAUUUAUUGCAUAGUCAAACCAUGGAUCCAGAGAAACAAGUCAAUAAGUCAAUAUCAAGAUGUGCAUGUGUGGCGAAUGAAUGGUGUAUGGUGAUGAUGGUGAUAAUGGUGAAAACAAUGGUGAAAGUCUAAUUCUACUUUUACUCUUUUGAGGGGAUACAUACCUUUCUUGCACUUUGAAGCUUUUUGAGGGGAAUGAGAUGCUCUAUAUUUUCUUUUUCUUUUCUCUCAGGUGGGUAUCUUGUACCCCUAAUUCUACUGUCGGACACUUGUCCAUUUUUACCUCUUGUCUCACUUUUUCUUUUUUUUUUCUUUUUUCGAGGUUCCCGGCACUUGCCCCUUUUUAUUUCCUCGUAUUCACUUUUUUUCAGAGCACUCACCCUCCUGGAAUAAUGUAGCAAGUGGUAGUAACCAAAAUAUCUCGAGCAUUUAUUUCACGGGGAAAAACAGGAAUGGGAUAAUGUUUUUGGCUAUUCUCUCCCGGAUAGGAGUAGAAUAAUUUUGGGUGAAUCUGGAGAUGUAAAUGAGUGGAUGUAUGUGGAUGCGUACUUCCAGAGUAGAAGCAGCAUGUAUGAGUGAACGUGCAAGUGAAUCUUGAUUUUAACCGCAUGACAAGCUCUUAAGGGUCUACAUAGCUUGACCACACUCAAUGCUCAUAAGCAGUAAAAAGUAAAUGUGUAGUUCAUAGUCUAAUAAGCAUGUAUAUGUGGCUGUGGUAGGAUUUUAAACUCUCAUCAUACAGGAACUCAUCAUGCAACAUUUUAAAGAAUUUCAAAGAUAAAAUUCUCCAGAAUUCUAGCAUCUCUAGGAACAGAUAAACAGCAGCUCAACCUUCCCAUAUCAUAUCCGUUAACGACUUAGACUUUAGAUCAAGUACUCUUCCCACAAGUUCAGAUUUAGAGCAAAUCUUAAUUCAUAGCAGUCAUGCCUAAACUUGAGAGAGAAUUCAAUUUUGAGAAGUAGUCAUGGCAGAGCAACUAUUCAUCAUUUCCAUGUGAGAGCUUAUCAUGAGGGUUCAUAGCAAACUUUAUUUAUUUAUUUAUUUAGAAAACUAAGCAAAGAUAUAUAUAUAUAAGUACAAAAUCUUUAUUUGGAUUUUUAUGAUUAUGCAUCUUUUUAUUAUUUGAGUAAAGUAUAAAUGCGAGUAGAAACACUUAGCUGGAUAAAUGGGGGUGCUCUCCCCCAAGCUGGAUUUUGAUGUAAUUUCUUCUGAUGUAGCUAGCAGGUGGCAGAGGUGUAUUUGAAUAUCGGCAGCACCCUGACAGCAAUUAGGAUGUCCUCCGUCUGCUAGUCUUCUUUGAGCCUUGAAUUCUGUGGAACUCAAAUAGACAACAAAGCUUUGUGGAGUCUGGGAGUUAUAAAACUCCUCCAUGUUUUGCUCGAAGUGUACCUACUCAUAGAGACAAGGCAGAGAUCAAGUGCAUGGGCCCUGUUGGUGGAAAACACCAAUAGAACCAAAAGUGUAUUUGUUCUUCUCUAACGUUAAGCAUAGUGAGCCAGACAAAGUUGAUGGAUAAUAAGAUCAUGAGUGUAGUAUUUAAAACAUUUGUCAGAUCAGAUCGCUCAACCUAAUGGAAAGAUAAUCUAUCUAUAUUUAUGUUUCUUUUAUAUAUAUCUUCCAAAGAUUGAGUGUGCAACAUUUUAGCUCAUAUGAUUAGGAGUGUGGGAUCACAAAGGUGGAAGGACUAAACAUGUUGAAUCGAUUGGGUUGGUUAACCUAGAGUUGUAAAUCAUACAUGUUUGUCUCUUUUAUUCAUAUGAACGCCAGAACCAAGGAGAAGCUUAUAAAAGUGAUAGUCAAGUACCUUAAGAUGUUACCUUACUUGAAGAGUGAUGGUACAGUAUCACCUUGUGGAAGCUUUCCUUUCUUAGCGGUUGUGCAUCGUGUUUGUGGCACCCUCCAUGGAUCAUCUCUUAUGAGCUACGUCUUCCUUGUGUAAAUUGUUAAACUUGAUGUGUCUCUCUCUUUGUCUCCAAUGUGAGUUUAUCUCAGGACUUCCCAGGUCGAUAUUGAAUGUUUUCCUGCAGGGGUUAGUCCAACAAAAUAUCCAAUAUCUACUAUAGCAUACUAUCGGCUCAAAAAUCAACCU
rnacentral:lncRNA from 1 species